rnacentral:lncRNA from 1 species
UGAUCAUCAGAGAGCCAGAAUGAAACAACCACAUAAUAAGGCAGAUAUUGGAAAUUCUUAAAAUGAUGAGCGUCUUCCCAAACUGGAAAUAAUUGAUGAGGAAUAUUUUAAACCCUGGAAGCAAAGAGAUUUCAAAAGGAGAUGCAAUUUUAAAGACACUCAUCUAUGGAGUGCCCCAAAUGCACUAGGACUGCACAGGCUGUGUGGGGAACUCAAGGUUGAAAAAGAUAUAUCCUUGGCCCUCAGGAAGACUACAGCCAGGUGCUGGAGUCCUGCCAUGCCCUUCCAUGCAGCUGGCUGGAUACCACAUGGUUCUUCGGCUCUCAUCUAGACUCUUAUGUCUGUUCUCAAUUGAUUCAAAACUCAGAGAGUGUAAAGGGGACCAUAACGAUGUCUACAUCCCAGGGCUGUCGCGAGUGAGAUCAUCCAACCAAGCACUUUGUACAACGUCUG